CUAGCUGCGAGAUUAAUGUGAAUUGCAGAACACAUUGAACAUCGACACCUUGAACGCAAAUGGCGGCCUCGGGUCCAUCCCGAGGCCACGCCCGUCUGAGGGUCGGCU
rnacentral:rRNA from 1 species